GAAGCGAACGCGGUGAACUGAAACAUCUAAGUAACCGCAGGAAAAGAAAUCAACCGAGAUUCCCAAAGUAGUGGCGAGCGAAAUGGGAUGAGCCUUGUACUCUUUAUUUGUAUUGUUAGCCGAACGCUCUGGAAAGUGCGGCCAUAGCAGGUGAUAGCCCUGUAGGCGAAAACAGUAUGAAAGAACUAGGUGUACGACAAGUAGGGCGGGACACGUGAAAUCCUGUCUGAAGAUGGGGGGACCAUCCUCCAAGGCUAAAUACUCGUGAUCGACCGAUAGUGAACCAGUACCGUGAGGGAAAGGCGAAAAGAACCCCGGGAGGGGAGUGAAAUAGAUCCUGAAACCGCAUGCAUACAAACAGUCGGAGCCUCGCAAGGGGUGACGGCGUACCUUUUGUAUAAUGGGUCAGCGACUUACGUUCAGUAGCAAGCUUAACCGUAUAGGGCAGGCGUAGCGAAAGCGAGUCCGAAUAGGGCGUUCAGUUGCUGGGCGUAGACCCGAAACCAGGUGAUCUAUCCAUGGCCAGGAUGAAGGUGCGGUAACACGUACUGGAGGUCCGAACCCACUAACGUUGAAAAGUUAGGGGAUGAGCUGUGGAUAGGGGUGAAAGGCUAAACAAACCUGGAAAUAGCUGGUUCUCUCCGAAAACUAUUUAGGUAGUGCCUCGUGUCUCACCUUCGGGGGUAGAGCACUGUCAUGGUUGGGGGGUCUAUUGCAGAUUACCCCGCCAUAGCAAACUCCGAAUACCGAAGAGUGCAAUCACGGGAGACAGACAUCGGGUGCUAACGUCCGGUGUCAAGAGGGAAACAACCCAGACCGCCAGCUAAGGUCCCCAAAUAUGGCUAAGUGGGAAACGAAGUGGGAAGGCUAAAACAGUCAGGAGGUUGGCUUAGAAGCAGCCACCCUUUAAAGAAAGCGUAAUAGCUCACUGAUCGAGUCGUCCUGCGCGGAAGAUGUAACGGGGCUAAGCCAUAUACCGAAGCUGCGGAUGCGAGCUAGUCUCGCAUGGUAGGAGAGCGUUCCGUAAGCCUGCGAAGGUGCCUUGUAAAGGGUGCUGGAGGUAUCGGAAGUGCGAAUGCUGACAUGAGUAGCGAUAAAGGGGGUGAAAGGCCCCCUCGCCGUAAGCCCAAGGUUUCCUACGCAACGUUCAUCGGCGUAGGGUGAGUCGGCCCCUAAGGCGAGGCAGAAAUGCGUAGCUGAUGGGAAGCAGGUCAAUAUUCCUGCACCGUCGUUAGAUGCGAUGGGGGGACGGAUCGCGGAAGGUUGUCCGGGUGUUGGAAGUCCCGGUCGCUGCAUUGGAGAAGGCGCUUAGGCAAAUCCGGGCGCAGGAUUCAAGGGUGUGGCGCGAGCUCCCUCGGGAGCGAAGCAAUUGGAAGUGGUUCCAAGAAAAGCCUCUAAGCUUCAGUCUAACGAUGACCGUACCGCAAACCGACACAGGUGGGCGAGAUGAGUAUUCUAAGGCGCUUGAGAGAACUCGGGAGAAGGAACUCGGCAAAUUGGUACCGUAACUUCGGGAUAAGGUACGCCCUUGUAGCUUGACUGGCCUGCGCCAGGAGGGUGAAGGGGUUGCAAUAAACUGGUGGCUGCGACUGUUUAAUAAAAACACAGCACUCUGCAAACACGAAAGUGGACGUAUAGGGUGUGACGCCUGCCCGGUGCCGGAAGAUUAAAUGAUGGGGUGCAAGCUCUUGAUUGAAGUCCCGGUAAACGGCGGCCGUAACUAUAACGGUCCUAAGGUAGCGAAAUUCCUUGUCGGGUAAGUUCCGACCUGCACGAAUGGCGUAACGAUGGCCACACUGUCUCCUCCCGAGACUCAGCGAAGUUGAAGUGUUUGUGAUGAUGCAAUCUACCCGCGGCUAGACGGAAAGACCCCAUGAACCUUUACUGUAGCUUUGCAUUGGACUUUGAACCGAUCUGUGUAGGAUAGGUGGGAGGCUAUGAAACCGGAACGCCAGUUUCGGUGGAGCCGUCCUUGAAAUACCACCCUGGUUUGUUUGAGGUUCUAACCUUGGCCCGUGAUCCGGGUCGGGGACAGUGCAUGGUAGGCAGUUUGACUGGGGCGGUCUCCUCCCAAAGCGUAACGGAGGAGUACGAAGGUACGCUAGGUACGGUCGGAAAUCGUGCUGAUAGUGCAAUGGCAUAAGCGUGCUUAACUGCGAGACCGACAAGUCGAGCAGGUGCGAAAGCAGGUCAUAGUGAUCCGGUGGUUCUGUAUGGAAGGGCCAUCGCUCAACGGAUAAAAGGUACUCUGGGGAUAACAGGCUGAUACCGCCCAAGAGUUCAUAUCGACGGCGGUGUUUGGCACCUCGAUGUCGGCUCAUCUCAUCCUGGGGCUGUAGCCGGUCCCAAGGGUAUGGCUGUUCGCCAUUUAAAGAGGUACGUGAGCUGGGUUUAAAACGUCGUGAGACAGUUUGGUCCCUAUCUGCCGUGGGCGUUGGAUAUUUGAAGGGGGCUGCUCCUAGUACGAGAGGACCGGAGUGGACGAACCUCUGGUGUACCGGUUGUGACGCCAGUCGCAUCGCCGGGUAGCUAUGUUCGGAAGAGAUAACCGCUGAAAGCAUCUAAGCGGGAAACUCGCCUUAAGAUGAGAUAUCCCUGGAGGCUUGACCUCCUUGAAGGGUCGUUCGAGACCAGGACGUUGAUAGGUCGGGUGUGUAAGCGCAGUAAUGCGUUCAGCUAACCGAUACUAAUUGCCCGUAAGGCUUGAUCCUAUAACA
rnacentral:rRNA from 1 species